GCUUGGUGGCAGGGCUGGGGUUGGGGUCCCAGAGAAAGGCCCAGGGCCAAUGGGAUGAGGGGAGCCUUCCUUGUGGCUGUCCCUGGAGCAGCGGGCCGUGUCCUCACCAGGGUCCCCGCCAGGAGGGAUACAUGGGCAUUUUGCAGGGCCAGUAAGGGAUGGCAUUUCCGGGGCCAGCAUCACAGAGGUCUUCUGGAAGCCCCAAGGCCCAGGUGGGAAGGGCUGGGUGUGGCCAGUGAUUGGAGAAGAGCCAGGUGAGCGGUGGCAGGGACCAGGUGAGCUGUCACUUGUGCACCUGCAGUGUUGGGGAGCUUGCUGCUUCUCGGCAGACGGAGCUCCCCUCCAGGCAGCUUGGGUUUUGAGCAAGUGCUUCCCUCAGUUGAGCUCAAGUCUCCUUCCCUACAAUGUCCCCCACUGAACAUCGGUGACCUGGCCAGGCAGCCCACAGAGAUCGAAGCCAGUGAUGCCACCUUGGAGACCACUGUCCCUACUGAGGUCCAGCAUUAGCCGAAGUCCCUCCUAAUGAUAAUACCACACUUAUGGAGGGCUUGCUGUGUGCUAGGUUCUGUUAGAGGCCUACUAAGAGCCGGGAAUGGGGCUCAACAUCUUCCAUGUAUGAAGCCUCCCAAGGGCCUAUCUGUCAGAGUCUGUUAUUGCCCCCGCUUUUCAGAGGAGGAAACUGAGGCAGGCCUAGAGAGGUGAAGUCCCAUGCCCAAGGCCAGAGUUCGCACUAGAUUCUGGGAGGCCCCAAGCUAGGCUGUCACCUGGCUCCCCAGCAGAUCUGUGUCCUGGCAGCAUUUGGCCUGCCCAGGCUGGUGGCCACACCUGGCUGGUGUGGCCUCAGGUCCUGAUAGCGAUUUAGUGGCGUCAGCUCAGUAAACUUGUGGCUGGGCUGCUCCUGAAACUGUUGAGUUGCUCGGCGUUUGUGUGGUGAUAAGAUGGUGCCCAGACCACCAAUAUCGAGGGGGGCCUGCUCCCCACCGCCCUGCCUGCCACCAGGACUGUGGGCCUCGAUAAUCCCCAAACUGAGAUAGUGCCAGACACACGUUAUAUGGUUUCCAAAGCCAUUGUAAUUUUUUUCACGUUUGGUAACGAUACGGAACAUAAGAUUGCCCUCUGUAAGCUCAUUUUGUUUGUUCUGAUGACCGGUCACUGGGUGACUGGGAUUCGCCCCCACUCCCCCCAAAUCACUCAACAACGGGCCGGAGUCCGAGAAAAGCCCCCUGCCAAGUGCCAGGUCUGUGGGAAACAGAUGUGUAGACAGCCAGCCAGGAUCUGGGUAAUGGGUGCUCUCUUGGGGAGUGCAGGACAGGGGUAUGGCAGCUGCUGUGGGAUUAGACAGGGCUUCCAGGAGGAAGCAACAACAGUAAGAUGGCCAGGAGUGAAGGAGGUGGUAGAGAAGAGCUGAGGACAGAGUGAACCACAGGCAGGUGAGUGGACCGUGGUUAGGGUCAAGGUGUUCACCACGGCGGGAGCUUAUAGUUCACCUUGGGGCAGGGCUGGGGAGAUGCAAAGGCCCUGCCACUAUUUUAAGGAGUUUGGUCUUUCUGCUGUGGACAGUGAGAGUCAUUGGAGGGUUUUUAGGGCCAUGGUGGGAUGGCAGUGUAACUCACGUCAUCCUAGAGCUCAUGACAACAGACCCUUCUGUCGCUCUCCGUCUCCUCCGGAGGACUCAGCCUGUGGAGCAUCUGGCUUUUAAUCCAAGAAGCCAGGCUGCAAGCCCCAGGCCUGUCAGGCACAUCUGUUUGAGGGGGUGGUAGAGAGAGCUGGGAUUCAGGAGACUGGGGCUCCAGCCUUGGCUACGUCACUGACCAGCACCUCAUAUAGUACCUGGCACGUGGAGGGGGCUCCUUCCCCUCACUCUUCCACACCCACACAAUUCUGGAGCUCAGGGACUCAGUGAAGAAUCACAGUGUCAGAAUCUGGCCCAGGGCCCGGCAGAUAGCAAAUAACCGUUUGCUGAAUGCGUGAGAGCAAGAACGCACUGCUAGGUGGCCUCGACCCAGCAGGUGCGAAUGCGGGCUCUGGAGCUGGACGGUCUGCAGACUGGAGUCUGCCUUCCCACCUUACAGCAGCAGGACCUUGGGCCACUUCUCUAGGCCUUGGUUUUCCACAGGAAAUAUGGGGACGAUAAUAGUACCUCCCUCACAGGGGGUUUGCGAGGAUCCGGUGGGGCAGAGCGGGCCAAUAUUGAGUGCGGGGCUGCCCAGAGUGACUGCUCAUCCUACAGUAGCUCUGCUUGUUGUUACUCGUAUGUUAUUAUCUUUCUAUAUAUGCACACACACACACAUAUAUAUACACACACAUUAUUUAUACACAUACACACACACAUUAUAUAACAAUAAUAUCUUGUUGUUAUUAUAUGUUAUUAUCUUUGGCCUCCGGGUCUCCCCUGUAAAUACCCUCCUCUUACCAAGCAUGCUGUAGUUUUCAGAACAUCUUCACAUCGGCCCAAUAAUUUGAUCCCCAAAGGUUAUUGCUACCAGGUAGCUGAGGCAGGGGCCAUGAAUCUCUUUUCAGAGGGGGCCACUGAGGCCCAGCCCGAUGGAGCUGGGCCUCCCCACCAGGAGCUCCUGGCCUCCCUGCCCCAGGGGCCCAUGAUCCCCCCCCAGACCCUACUCUGUGACAUGGAAGGCACCUUCCUCUCCAAGUAGGCCCCCCCGCCGGGAAUCGGAUCCAUAGCCUGACAGCCCCCCCCACCAAACAGUCCUGGCCAGGUGCCUGCUCGGUGCCCAGCUUGUGUUGGGUAUUGAUGAUGCAAAGAGAAAGCAGACCCGACUUCUGCCCUUGAGCCACUCCCAAGCCAGGGGAGGCAGAGGUGGGCAUCGGCAGGCUGAUGGGAUUGGCAAUGGGGGGCACACGGGGCUGGGGAGGGAAAGGGGCGUUAGUGAAAGGCUCUCGGUGUCCAGCCAGACAGAGACGGCGGUGAAGGGCAUCCCAGGCAGAGGGCACCGCACAAGCAAAGCCCUGGGGCCAGAAAUACGAGCUGGCGGCGGGCGCGUGGGUGGCAGCUGUCUCAGCAACCAGCCCCAGCCCUCCCAACCUGUGGCCGCCGUCUUCCAACCCUGGCCCGCAGAAACGGCUUUCCCGUCCACCCCUGCAUAGCCUCCGCAUCCUCAGAUUUCCUGUGGGUGGGCAGCAGAUGAGCUGUGGCAGCCAAGAGGCUCAGGGAAGAAAGGUCCAUGGCAGACAGAUGAGGGGACCAUUGGGCAGAGGCUCUAUCUCGCUGGGUCCCCAAAGGGCAGGCCGGAGCCUGGAUUCCAGGAGGGGGCCCGGGGUCACAUCCUGACCCGCGGAGACAGGAAACUGGCCUGGUGUCUCAGCGAUUCCCGUCAGACUGACUGCACGGGUCUGCUGUCUUCCUUACAAGCCCCAGGCAGCCGGGCCAGAGCUGGGGCAGCCGCUGAUUCACCCUACUUCUGGGCAAACCCGGGGAGCUGAGGACACCCCACCCACCUCCAAGCAGAUGGAAGUUGCUGGGCUCUUGCACUGACUCAUUCCUGACCAGAGGGGCAGGCAAGGCGGCUCAGGCAGAGAGGAAGAGCAGGAGGGGCCCGGGGCUCCCCCAGACUGUCCUAGGAGGCUGUGAAGGGCUCUGGAGGAUUCUGGCAGGUCGGCUGUACCGGGUCUUUCCCAACACCACCGAGAUGGGUCUCCCUCUGCUCAGGUUAAUUUCAGGUAGUCUGCCAAUUAUACUUCAAUUUUUAUUUAUUUAUUUUUUUUAAAGAUUUUUAAUUUAUUUAUGAGAGAGAGAGAGAGGGAGUGAGCACACAAACAGGGGAAGCGGCAGGCAGAGGGAGAAGCAGAUUCCCUGCUAAGCAAGGAGCCCGAUGCGGGACUCAAUCCCAGGACCCUGGGAUCAUGACCCAAGCCGAAGGCAGACGCUUAACCGACUGUGCCACCCAGGCAUCCCUAUACUUCAGUUUUUAAAUAAAUUAAUGAAUUAAAUGAAAACUUCAGAUAAUGAUCAUAAUCCUGGAACAAAACGUCAGUUGUGACAUUUAGCUUUGUAUUUCAUGUUUUACCAAAAUAUAUUAAAUCCAGUAUUUAAUUUUUAAUGUGUUUAGAAUGCAUAAAUAUUUCAUUUUUUUUUUAAGUUGUAUUUAUUCAAGUAACCUCUACACAAAACAUGGGACUCCAACUCAUGGCCCUGAGAUCUAGAGUUGCACACUCCUCCGGCCAAACAGCCAGAUACCCCUCAGAUGCAUAAAUGUUAUUAAAAUUGAUUUAAGAGGCGCCUGGGUGGCUCAGUCGUUAAGUAUCUGCCUUCAGCUCAGAUCAUGAUCCCAGGGUCCUGGGUUCGAGCCCCACAUCGGGCUCCCUGCUCAGCGGGAAGCCUGCUUCUCCCUCUCUCACUCCCCCUGCUUGUGUUCCCUCUCUCACUGUGUCUCUCUCUGUCAAAUGAAUAAAUAAAAUCUUAAAAAAAAAAAAAAAUAAAUAUAAAAAUUGAUUUAAAAAGAUGUUUCGAAAACCAAAAGGUCAGGCGCCUGGGUGGCUCAGUUGGUUGAGCAACUGCCUUCGGCUCAGGUCAUGAUCCUGGAGUCCCUGGAUCGGGUCCCGCAUUGGGCUCCCUGCUUGGCAGGGAGUCUGCUUUGCCCUCUGACCCUCCCCCCUCUCAUGUGCUCUCUCUCUCUCUCAAAUAAAUAAAUAAAAUCUUAAAAAAAAAUAAAACCAAAA